UCAGACGAUGCGUCAUGCAUAUCAAUAAGCGGAGGAAAAGAAACUAACAAGGAUUCCCCUAGUAACGGCGAGUGAAGCGGGAAGAGCUCAAAUUUGAAAUCUUAAAGGGUUUCCCUUUACGAAUUGUAGUUUAAAGAAGUGUUUUCUGUUGAGGUUUUGGUAAAAGUUCUUUGGAAUAGGACAUCAUAGAGGGUGAGAAUCCCGUAUUUGACCUUUACUUCCAACUUUGUGAUACACUUUCAAAGAGUCGGAUUGUUUGGGAAUGCAGUCCAAAAUGGGUGGUAAAUUUCAUCUAAAGCUAAAUAUUGGCGAGAGACCGAUAGCGAACAAGUACCGUGAGGGAAAGAUGAAAAGAACUUUGAAAAGAGAGUUAAACAGUACGUGAAAUUGUCAAAAGGGAAGCGUUUGACACCAGUGUUGUUUUUCUGAAAAUCAAUUAAAGAACUGUUUAUGCUAAGUUGUUUAGACUUUAUCAGCUAACUGUUUAGUUUUGAGCUUUUCUUUAAUGCACUUUUCAGUUAACAAGUCAACAUCAAUUUCUUUUGCUGUAAAAAAGCUUGAGGAAGGUGGCUUGAGAUUCGUCUUAAGUGUUUAUAGCCUCUUGCCUAUGCAGUCGGAGAGAUUGAGGUCUGCAGCGUAGAUCCUUCGGGGCUAAAUGCAUUUGUGCUAAGUUAUAGCAUUUUAUAGACAACUUGUUGACUAUGAUUUGUCUUGUAGCUUACUCGCUUAUGUUAUUUUACCUACGCUUAGGAUGUUGAAGAUGUAGCACAUCAU
rnacentral:rRNA from 1 species